GACGUAGGGGACGAGCGUUGUCCGGAUUCAUUGGGCGUAAAGGGUGCGUAGGCGGCGCGGUAAGUCGGGUGUGAAAUCUCGGAGCUUAACUCCGAAACUGCAUUCGAUACUGCGCGGCUAGAGUGCUGGAGGGGAGACUGGAAUUUACGGUGUAGCAGUGAAAUGCGUAGAUAUCGUAAGGAAGACCAGUGGCGAAGGCGAGUCUCUGGACAGCAACUGACGCUGAGGCACGAAGGCCAGGGGAGCAAACGGG
rnacentral:rRNA from 1 species